CAUAGAAGUUGGCUGGGUGACUUUGGGCCAAUCACCAGGAGACUGUGAGUUGUAGUUCUGUCCCAGGGACCCAAGCCAGCUGCAUGACUUUCAGCCCGUCCUUCCCUCAGUCCAGCACCCCUCACAGGAUUGUAGGAGAAAUAGGAGGGAAGAGUAUUAGGUAUGUCCACUGCCUUAUUUACAAAUAAUAAUAAAGGCAGGAUAUUAAUAAAUAAAAUAAAUGGUCUUUUCUGGAGUAAUGUGAUAUGCAAACAUCUUUAGGAUUCAGGGUUUAUAUCCAAUCUUAUUUAAUUUCUGAGAUAAGACAUAUAAACGUAUACACUUGGGGGCAUGGACACUGCAUAUUGAUAAUGUUGCCAAGAUUACGGAUUGCAAACAACACAGUCAAAACCUGCACAUUGGAUUUAGGAUUGGACUACAGACCAAAGGAGAACUCGUCUCAAAUGGAACGAGUCAUAUGUCCUGAAAAAAAUAGGACAAAGAAGCAAAUCUGGAUGGUUAGGAAGACACCAAAGGCCAAGAUGGAUGACAAGGCAGAAGAAGUUUGGCAUGUUAAGAGAUCAUUUAUUAUUUUUAUUAACGCUCAAAAAUAACGAAGAAAAACCAAGAGCCCAAGUGAGAUGCGAAACAAAGCAUAUUCACAUUGAAAGCAAAGCCAGAAAGCUUGGGAGAGAAGGAACCCCCCCCAACACACAAAUAAGAGCAUUACAAAAAAUUUAAAAACAGGGGAGGGGGAAGGAUUAAAGACCAGACUACUUGGAUACUGGAGCAAUAUUCCAGAGCAGGAGACAAGAUCAAGGAGACCUCUCCAUUUCUAACCAUGUACAAUUCAUACAAGUUGGUCUUUUUUAUAGUCAGAAAAGUGGCUUUACAUAAACCCCCAAUGCGGUGUUUUUCAACUUUGCAACUUUGAAGGUUGUGGAAGCACUGUUCUAAUAUGAGAACACAACUGAUGGUUGAUGGGAGGCAGCGUUCGUGGGGCGGAGUGCCAAUCCCCCAGGGGGAUUAAAUAUUAGUGUAAAUAUCACAAUUUCUGAAAGCAUGGUGAAGUCCUUUUGAUAAUGUGCCCUUGUAGAGUAUCCAAACUAACGGAAGAAGCCCGGGAGGAAGAUAUCACUUAUACCUAUAUUAGAUUUUGUAAGAAAACAGAAAAAAGAAUCAUUUUCUACUGCUGAAGACAGCAUCAGAAUAUAGGAGCCUAUACAAGUGCCACUUACAUAUUGAUGUAAUAUUUGACAUCGGGGUCAGCAAUCUUUCCAGAUUCCACAACUCCAAAGAGUGCUCACAAAAUAAU